GGUAUUACCCAUAUCCGUAGGUUCGGAUCGGAGUCGGAUUCGAAUAGAAAAUAACACUAUCCAUAUCCUAUCCAUAUCUGUGCUACAGUUUUCGGAUUUUAUCCAAAUCCAGUCAAAUCCUAUUUUUCAAGUUUGACUGAAUUUGGGUAGAGUGUAUAUCCAUUGAAUUGGAUUGAUUUUGUCAUCUCUAAUCGACGAUGGGGGG
rnacentral:lncRNA from 1 species